rnacentral:rRNA from 1 species
CCUACGGGAGGCAGCAGUAAGGAAUAUUGGACAAUGGUCGCAAGACUGAUCCAGCCAUGCCGCGUGCAGGAUGACUGCCCUAUGGGUUGUAAACUGCUUUUGUACGGGAAUAAACCCUUCUACGUGUAGAAGGCUGAAUGUACCGUAAGAAUAAGGAUCGGCUAACUUCGUGCCAGCAGCCGCGGUAAGACGAAGGAUCCAAGCGUUAUCCGGAUUUAUUGGGUUUAAAGGGUGCGUAGGCGGAUUGAUAAGUCAGUGGUGAAAGCCUGUUGCUUAACAACAGAACUGCCAUUGAUACUGUCAAUCUUGAAUAUGUUUGAUGUGGGCGGAAUAUGACAUGUAGCGGUGAAAUGCUUAGAUAUGUCAUAGAACACCGAUUGCGAAGGCAGCUCACAAAGCCAUUAUUGACGCUGAGGCACGAAAGCGUGGGGAUCAAACAGGAUUAGAUACCCUGGUAGUCCACGCUGUAAACUUUGAUCACUCGCUGUUGGCGAUACACUGUCAGCGGCUAAGCGAAAGCGUUAAGUGAUCCACCCUGGGGAGUACGAUCGCAAGAUUGAAACUUCAAAAGGAAAUUAGGACGGG